rnacentral:rRNA from 1 species
CCUACGGGGGGCAGCAGUGGGGAAUAUUGCGCAAUGGGCGAAAGCCUGACGCAGCGACGCCGCGUGAGGGAUGAAGGUCUUCGGAUCGUAAACCUCUGUCAGCAGGGAAGAACGGUCACUGUGCUAAUCAGCAGUGAAUUGACGGUACCUGCAAAGGAAGCACCGGCUAACUCCGUGCCAGCAGCCGCGGUAAUACGGAGGGUGCGAGCGUUAAUCGGAAUUACUGGGCGUAAAGCGCUCGUAGGCGGUAGGUCAAGUCAAGGGUGAAAUCCCCGCGCUCAACGUGGGAACUGCCUUUGAAACUGGCAAACUGGAGUGUGUGAGAGGAUAGUGGAAUUCCAGGUGUAGGAGUGAAAUGCGUAGAUAUCUGGAGGAACAUCAGUGGCGAAGGCGACUAUCUGGCACAUAACUGACGCUGAGGAGCGAAAGCGUGGGUAGCAAACAGGAUUAGAUACCCGGGUAGUC